AUCUUCUUUCAGAAAAUACUUAAGCUAAACAUUGAUUAACUUCUAUAUAUAGUGUUAUAUUCUUGUUUGGAAAUAAAAUUCUAAGCCAAUUCAGCAGGAUUGGCGGUUUCUCUAAGACUGGCACUAGGAAGUUGAUGACGAUGGCAGUCAGUGACUACAAUUUGUGAUUGCCUAUUGACUAAAACAGAAAUUGUCAUGACCUGACCUCAUUCUAAUGCAAACCCUUAACGACCAGAGUAACAAGGAAACUCUUCUCAGUGUCAUGCCCUCUGACCAAUGCCCCCUGUUAGGUUUGCAUAGUUUUGCAAGCUUUCAUGGAGGCCAGCAUUCAACAUGUUUGGCUUUUAACUGGCAUCAUUAAUCAAUGUGACAUGAAUCCAGGAAGAAUAGUUCUCACCCUAGGGCAAGUGGUAGAAACCAGCCUUGUUAAGGUGACACUUCUGAUUGCAGAGCUUAUUCAUCCUGAGGCACUUUACUCCCUUGUCAGGUCUCAGGAGAUCUUUGGCAGGGGCCAUCUUCAAAACCCUUUUCUCAGCCCCACUCCUGGGACUACGACGCAGUAAUGGCUGGGCUUCGGACUAAAUGAACAUGAGAUGUGGGGAGUGUGCCAGAGGUCCAAACAAGCCAGAGCCCCAGAAACCCAACCUCGGGAGACUACAAGCUGUGCUGAAAGCCUGGCACGGGAGAAGUGGUGUGGCAGCCUCCGGUCCCCAGGGGCUGUGCAUCCUGCCGCCGGCUCCAGUGCCGGCGGCCCUGCCUUUUCCUGGCCCUGGAGACAACACUCUGGCCUCGCAGCUCUCAGGGCAGGCGCCAGGGCGGAACCGAGCAAGGCCUCUUGGAUGACCCCGCCCUCGGAAAUGAAUUGCAAUGCCCAACUGCAGAUUUCAUUCAUCUUAACAAAAGGCUACUCCUAUUCAGUUUGAUUAAAAUAGAAAACGGACUUCCUAGGAAUUAUCAAUGUUCAGUCAUAUUUGCCACACAUUCGUGGAUGUGAGAAGCCUGAGGAACUGCGCGUUACUAUUUGCAUUUCAGUGCCUGGAAUACUUUCCCUUCCUCUGGUGUCUCACACCAGGGCUGUUGUCUGUGAUCACGGAGCUCAAAAUGAGAGAUUUGUGCAUAUUACAGGAACUUUUUUUUUUUUUUUUUUUAAGCCAAGUUGUCUCCUUUUUCCAAUCUGUUCAAAUGUAUUGAAUAGUAUGUAAAUAAACUGCACAUUGCAAAAA